rnacentral:lncRNA from 1 species
CUCUCUCCUGGCACAAAACAAGCAGAUGAAGAGCAGCCCUGAGAGGUAGACACAGCGGAGAUUUUUUUCACCCGCAUUGUACAGAAGAGAAAAUGAAGCUUUGCCCAACCUGCAGGAGAUCCCCUCACCUUGCAAAAGAGCCAAGCUGUGGGAUCUUCAGUCCCUGGACCAUUUAGCUUGACUAAGAGAACAGGAAUGGAGGCCAAAAGAUCUACAAAAUGCUCACACAGAGAAGAUGACAGCUUCUACAAAUAAAUGUCAAUCAGUUCAUUUCCCC